rnacentral:tRNA from 1 species
GCAUCGGUGGUUCAGUGGUACAAUGCUCGCCUGCCACGCGGGCGGCCCUGGUUCGAUUCCAGGCCGAUGCA